rnacentral:rRNA from 1 species
CUACGGGACGCUGCAGUGAGGAAUUUUGCGCAAUGGGGGGAACCCUGACGCAGCAACGCCGCGUGAGUGAUGAAGGCUUUCGGGUCGUAAAGCUCUGUCAAGUGGGAAGAACCUAUGCAGUGUUAAUAUCACUGUAUACUGACGGUACCACUGAAGGAAGCACCGGCUAACUCCGUGCCAGCAGCCGCGGUGAAUACGGGGGGUGCAAGCGUUAUUCGGAAUCAUUGGGCGUAAAGGGCACGUAGGCGGCUUGGUAAGUCAGAUGUGAAAGCCCGGGGCUUAACCCCGGAAGUGCAUUUGAUACUGGCAGGCUUGAGUAUGGGAGAGGGAAGUGGAAUUCCUGGUGUAGAGGUGAAAUUCGUAGAUAUCAGGAGGAACACCGGUGGCGAAGGCGACUUCCUGGACCAAUACUGACGCUGAGGUGCGAAGGCGUGGGUAGCAAACAGGAUUAGAUACCCGGGUAGUC